rnacentral:rRNA from 1 species
AUUGAACGCUGGCGGCAGGCAUAACACAUGCAAGUCGAACGAGUGGCGGAAGGGUGAGUAAUGUCUGGGAAACUGCCCGAGGGAGGGGGAUAACUACUGGAAACGGUAGCUAAUACCGCAUACCAUCGGAUGUGCCCAGAUGGGAUUAGCUAGUAGGUGGGGUAACGGCUCACCUAGGCGACGAUCCCUAGCUGGUCUGAGAGGAUGACCAUCCACCCUUGAACGGCGACACGGUCCAGACUCCUACGUGAGGCAGCAGUGGGGAAUAGUGCACAAUGGGCGCAAGCCUGAUGCAGCCAUGCCGCGUGUAUGAAGAAGGCCUUCGGGUUGUAAAGUACUUUCAGCGAGGAGGCGUUACUCGCAGAAGAAGCACCGGCUAACUACGUGCCAGCAGCCGCGGUAAUUC